AUGAGCAGAAGUACUUACAAAGUUACUAACAGCCUUUCCAUAACAUUUAUACUAAAACAUGAUUCAUUAUGAAAUGCUGAUUAUUAAUGCUAUUAAUAUUAUUAAAAUCAUUAAUGCUAAAUGUAGCUUGUUGGACUUUUUAGGCAGUCCUGCAUGUUCAAAAAUUUGCACAGAGACGUUCUCCAAAAUCGAUUAGAAGUUUAUUAUCAGAUGUAAAAAGGAGUAACAAAGCUUUGGGUUGUCAGACGAUCUCCUCACUCCACCACAAGCCAACAACCCAAAUUAUUCAAAAACACCCAUAUUUAUUCAGUAUGUGACGUCGCUCGCAUCUUCUGACUCCUCCUCUGCCUUUUAAGGAGUGCUGCUCCCUUUCCACCAAUCACCGUGCACCACGUAUAUCUGCAAAACAACAUCUUUGCAUAACACAUGUUUUACAUCCUGUGGUCAGUCGCCAGUUUUGAGGAAUGUUCUCUAGAGACCGUUUCUUUUGGGGAGUGGUCUCCUAGAGACAGUUUCUUGUGGCCGGACAACAUACCAACAUUCUUAACAUUCUUUUAGUAAAAAGAAAACACUCAAUCAUCUAAUGCUUUUAAUUAUGUAGCGUUGUUUCUUAAUCCUAUGAUUCAUUAAAACACAUCACAACUCAUGAUUAUACUUAAAACAUAUGCAGUGGAUUGAUUCAUAACAUUUCUUUUAUAUGUGACUCUUUGUGUGUGUGUGUGUGUGUGUGUGUGUGUGUGUGUGUGUGUGUGUGUGUGUGUUGAUUUAGAUAAUGUAUGGUUCCAACCCCCACUUAUCCUGUCUCACUUCGUUUACCACAGUAACUUUCCACUGAGUAAAAUAGAAAGCACAUGACAAAAGCACACAGCUUAAUGAUUUAAUGAAAGAAAACACUUAUUGAUUAUAUUGAUAAUUAAAUCAUACUUUUAUCUGAAAAAUAUUCCCACAAGCUACAAGUCGUAUGGUGUAUAAUCUGUCACAAAUCUAUAUAGGACACAGUAAACUGGCUGACAGCUAAAAAUACUUUAUUAAACUACUGCUGCACUUUCGUGUACUUAAGCGUUACACUAAAAGCGUUCAUUUUCUUUUCAUUUUUUCAAUUGAUUUAUUUUUGCGUCCAUUUAUUAUUUCUUUUUUUUUCUUUUUAGAUUAUUUUAUUUAUCAUUUCCUUUUAUUUUUAGAUUUAUUUAUUUAUUUUUAUAUUUAUUUAUUAUCGCAUGUAUUUAUUUCCACUUUUAUUUAUUUAUUCUUGAAUUUAUUCUUACUUUUCUGUGUCUUGUAUGAUAAUUAGAUGGGUUGGUCUUGCCUACUAUUGAUUCAGCGUAGAUUGAAGCGUUUGAUCGAUUACUCUUGACUUGUUUUGGACUAACGUCACGUCACUCACUGAUCGUUUGCUUCGUGUAUAACGUUAAGCAACUAUGGCGGGCGCACAAUUAGCUAGAGAGUUACGGCAUUUAGCCAAUGAAGUCGAUAACCAUGCAUCAAAUGACUAUGUGUCAUUUAGAUUAGAUGCGCUUAUUGAUGUUUUAUUACAGAUUGACGGCGAGAUAAAUCGCACAAAAUGUGUUGUCUUGUGGGAGACGAACUUUGGUUGCUCAAGUGUGCUGUAAUCCAAUCAGAUAAACUUGAUAUUUCAGAUCACGCAUCACUGAAGUCUGGCCUCUAAGUCUAGGUAUGAAAGUUCUUGUUUUAGUCUAAGUACUACAGUAGGUUUUGUCAUGAGGGAAAAUCACUACAGGCCUAAUUGUGUUUAAUAAACAGUUUGAAGCAAUCAAUGGUUAGUUUUUAAUGAAACAAUAAAACCCAACUUGCAAAACAUACGUUUUUUAAUGAAUACAACCAUAUUCUAAAAAACAACAAUUUUGGAUUAUGAGAAAGUAUGGAUUCCUCAGAUGAGCUUCUGUACUCGAAAAAAAGAAAUCCAGAGUGAAGCUACAAAAUUGUGUAUUGUCAGGCGUUCUAUGAAGGGUUUUGACCAAGUAACUUGUGUAUUAGAAAAACACACAAACAAACUCAUAAAACGAUUUAAUUAACAGACAUUUGUUAACAUUGGUUUUUGUUAACCUUGGUUAUCUCUUGUGUUAUUGUGAUUUUACAUAAUCCUAUGAAAGGAACUGAGAAUCAUUUCCGUGGCCCUUGGAAUUGCUUGCAGUUGCAGUCUGCAUUGAGGUCAUAAAAUGGAAGCAUGCGAUGCUUUCUCUGUCAUCAGUGGAUGUUUUUGAGUCAGAUCGUAAAUGUCACACUGUAGGUUGCAGUGCAAGCAGAAAUGCAACAACAUUGCUUGAUGUGGUUUAAUUGAUCUUGGUUUCAAAGUUUCAUAUCAUGUCAAGAGACUUCACAGAGAAUCCCUGUUACCGUUACACUCCAACAGACUUCUCUUGUGUUUCUCGUGCAUUUAUAUCAAUUUGGAUUCUAUUGAUCAUGUUUAGUACUGGAAAAGAUAAAGAUAAAAACCAAAUGAAAUGGAUUACUGUUUUAAAUCAAGAAAAGAAAACUGGAAUUUAUUUCUAGACAUUUUGAAGAAUGUAGGACAGCAAACAGUUCUGGGGCACUUUUGACUAUCAUUGUUUUUUUCCUACUAUGGAAGUCAAUGGGUGUUGAGAUCUGUUUGGUUAUAAGCAUUCUUCCAAAUAUGUUUCCCUGUGUUCAUCAGAACAAAGACAUUUAUACAGAUUUGGAACAACUCGGAGGUGAGUAAAUGAUGACAGAAUUUUCAAUUUUGGCUGAAGUAUCCCUUUAAUGGGUUGUAUCAAUCUGAGGUGAGUGAAUAUAUUAUGCACAUUUUCUAUGUAAUUUUUUUUUACCAACGGUUGGGUUUGUCCAUAUUUUAAGUGUACAUUCACAGAACAUGAUUUUCUGUACAAACUAUAAAACAGCUAUCUUUGAUUCAAUUUCAUUGUAAUUUUUGGAUGUAAACGUUUCUUAAAAAUCAUCUGGGUCAUCAGAUUUUCUUCUCUUAUAUACUCACGAUUGCUGCCCGUUUCAUGUUGAUGAAUUUAAACACAGAUUCACACAUGCCUUAUUUUAUCCAGAAUAUUGUGUGUAAUGUUGUCAGACUCAUUUAGGUACAAAGCCCACCUUUCAAUUAGUUUGAAAGUUUUUACGGCAUGUACAAUCCUUUCAGAUUUGUGUCGAUCGAUGUUGAAGCUCCUUGAUCAAAUGCACAUGCGCUACCAAAAAUGACCCGGAUUGACUUGUUUCUUCCUGUUUUGGUUUUUGACUUCAUUCAUAAUAUACACCAAAAUAAUAUACACGCAUCACCAAGACACUUUGUGAAGGCAGCAUUAUUGUUCUUACAGCACUUCUUAAGUUAGAAAACUCAACACUUAUCAGUAUGGUAAGACAGAACAGACACGGAAUGCUAACAAUGAAACUUUUUUGAGUUGUAAUAUUGUGUUUACGUAUAGUUUGAGUUUCUACUCAUAGUAACAAAGUAAUCUAUCAAAUAAUGGUAUAAAGUUUUGUUUCUUAUCAAAUAAGGGUACAACCUGCUGCAAAUCAGUUGAAGAAUCGGAUUCUCGGGAGAAAUAUUUCCGACUUAGGGAAGACAAUGAGGUUUACGACUCGAUAGACAUAACUUGUGGUUUACCCAAUCAAGUUCAGAUUUCUGUCCAGUGUCAGGAGAACCCCGAGGGUAAAAAUGGAUUCGUAAUAUAUGACAUGGCGGCCUUUCCUGUUGCCAACUUCCUGUUACCUUCCAAAGCAAAAGAUCAUGCUAAAGAUGAAGGAUCAAUAUAAAUGACUUACAAAUGAAAACAUUUUAAAAUUAUUACUAUUUUAAAUUAUUAUUAUUGUUGUUGUUAUUAACGUAAUUAAUUGUGUUUAUUAAUUUUAACUAUUAAUUAAAAUAAAAAUUAAUUUAUUU